GAUGAACGCUGGCGGCGUGCCUAAUACAUGCAAGUCGAGCGAACGGACGAGAAGCUUGCUUCUCUGAUGUUAGCGGCGGACGGGUGAGUAACACGUGGAUAACCUACCUAUAAGACUGGGAUAACUUCGGGAAACCGGAGCUAAUACCGGAUGAUAUUUUGAACCGCAUGGUUCAAAAGUGAAAGACGGUCUUGCUGUCACUUAUAGAUGGAUCCGCGCUGCAUUAGCUAGUUGGUAAGGUAACGGCUUACCAAGGCAACGAUGCAUUGCCGACCUGAGAGGGUCAUCGGCCACACUGGAACAGAGACACGGCCCAGACUCCUACGGUAGGAAGCAGUAGGGACUCUUACGCAAUGGGCGAGAGCCUGACGGAGCAACGCCGGGUGAGUGAUGAAGGUCUUCGGAUGGUAGAACUCUGUUAUUAGGGAAGAACAUAUGUGUAAGUAACUGUGCACAUCUUGACGGUACCUAAUCAGAAAGCCACGGCUAACUACGUG
rnacentral:rRNA from 1 species